rnacentral:lncRNA from 1 species
UCACCUCUGCCAGCUGUGCAAUCCUGGGCACCUUGCUCGCCUUCCCUGAGCCUGUUUCUUCUCCUGUAAAAUGCCAGGCACUGGGCUGGCCUGAGAGCUUCACCCAUGCUCUGCUGCUGCAUCCUUGCCCUCAGUGCCUUGGUUUACCCUCUUCCACGUGGCUCACAGUAGACAUUCCCUUUCUCAGCCCCGGGCCCCCAGCACUGACCUGCCAGAACCACGGCAGUCUGGGUUUGUUCCAGAAACUUCUCAGGAAACCCAAGUUUGAAGGAUGGUGACACAGGGGAGCCAAGGAGAGGGCAGGCCUUUCCUGAGUGCUGAGUCUGCAGGCCCUGCCCAGGAACAGCCCAAUGGGUACAGAUGCUCGCACGACUCAGAGUGCCAGAGCAGCUGCUGCGUCCGCAACAACAGCCCGCAGGAGUUGUGCACGCCCCAAAGCGUCUUCCUGCAGUGUGUGCCCUGGCGCAAGCCCAACGGCGACUUCUGCAGCAGCCAUCAGGAGUGUCACAGCCAGUGCUGCAUCCAGCUGAGGGAGUACAGCCCCUUCCGCUGCAUUCCCCGGACCGGGAUCCUGGCCCAGUGCCUGCCCCUGUGAUGUGAGCUCGAACCUGGGCGCGAGGGACCGGCCUGGGCCCUGGGAUGUUCACGCAGGACCGCGUUGCGCGGGGGCUGGUUCCAGCGGAAGCUUCCCUUACGGUUUGUGCUGCUGUUUCUGGGGCUCUGAAAAUCUGUGGGAACUGAAAGGCUGUGACCAGCCUGGUGGCGCGAAGUGUCUGUGAGAACAAAUCCCAGGCACUGGGGUGUAGCCUGAUUGUUAAACAUCAAUAAAGGCUCCUGGCCGACUGAGCAGCCGUGUCUCACCCCUUCUGUGUUUUGAAUAAUAAAAGCAUAAAAUCUGAAGGAAACCUGGAGGUCACAGAGAGGUGGCGUCGGCUGGGUCCGUGCCAGAGCGGCCUUCUGGGAAGCCUGGGGAG